AGAGAGAGACAUGCGCGCAUAUCAAUAAGCGGAGGAAAAGAAACUAACUAGAAUUCCCUCAGUAACGGCGAGUGAAGCGGGAAGAGCUCAAAUUUGAAAUCUUCAAGGUUCUACCUUGACGAAUUGUAGUUUAAAGAAGUGUUUUCUGUUGGAGUUUUGGUAAAAGUUCUUUGGAAUAGGACACCAUAGAGGGUGAGAAUCCCGUAUUUGACCAUUAUUUCCAACUUUGUGAUACACUUUCAAAGAGUCGGAUUGUUUGGGAAUGCAGUCCAAAAUGGGUGGUAAAUUUCAUCUAAAGCUAAAUACUGGCGAGAGACCGAUAGCGAACAAGUACCGUGAGGGAAAGAUGAAAAGAACUUUGAAAAGAGAGUUAAACAGUACGUGAAAUUGUCAAAAGGGAAGCGUUUGACACCAGUGUUGUUUUCUCGAAAAUCAAUUAAAAAUGGCGGGAUUUUGUGUUGUAUUGACUUUAUCAGCUUUCUGCACUUUUUUCGUGUCUUUUUUAAUGCACUUUUCGUUUAACAAGUCAACAUCAAGUUUCUUUUGUUGUAAAAGGGUCAUUGGAAGGUGGCUUUCUUUUCGGAGAAAGUGUUUAUAGCCUUUGGCCUCUGCAAUCGGAGAGGAUUGAGGUCUGCAGCGUAGAUCCUUCGGGGUUAGAUAGCAUUUGUGCUAAGUUAUAGCCUUUCAUAGACAACUUGUUGACUAUGAUCAGUCAUGUAGCUUACUCGCUUAUGCUAUUUUACCUACGCUUAGGAUGUUGAGUCGUAGAGCGCGCAG
rnacentral:rRNA from 1 species